UCUUUGGUAUUUAAAAGGUGGAUAUUCCUUCUAUGUUUACGUGAUUCAUAGAUAAUCAUAGAGGAAAAUCCAUGUUUUCAGUAUCAAAUGCU
rnacentral:pre_miRNA from 1 species